rnacentral:rRNA from 1 species
AGAGUUUGAUCAUGGCUCAGAUUGAACGCUGGCGGCAGGCCUAACACAUGCAAGUCGAGCGGUAGAGAGAAGCUUGCUUCUCUUGAGAGCGGCGGACGGGUGAGUAAUGCCUAGGAAUCUGCCUGGUAGUGGGGGAUAACGUUCGGAAACGGACGCUAAUACCGCAUACGUCCUACGGGAGAAAGCAGGGGACCUUCGGGCCUUGCGCUAUCAGAUGAGCCUAGGUCGGAUUAGCUAGUUGGUGGGGUAAUGGCUCACCAAGGCGACGAUCCGUAACUGGUCUGAGAGGAUGAUCAGUCACACUGGAACUGAGACACGGUCCAGACUCCUACGGGAGGCAGCAGUGGGGAAUAUUGGACAAUGGGCGAAAGCCUGAUCCAGCCAUGCCGCGUGUGUGAAGAAGGUCUUCGGAUUGUAAAGCACUUUAAGUUGGGAGGAAGGGUUGUAGAUUAAUACUCUGCAAUUUUGACGUUACCGACAGAAUAAGCACCGGCUAACUCUGUGCCAGCAGCCGCGGUAAUACAGAGGGUGCAAGCGUUAAUCGGAAUUACUGGGCGUAAAGCGCGCGUAGGUGGUUUGUUAAGUUGGAUGUGAAAUCCCCGGGCUCAACCUGGGAACUGCAUUCAAAACUGACUGACUAGAGUAUGGUAGAGGGUGGUGGAAUUUCCUGUGUAGCGGUGAAAUGCGUAGAUAUAGGAAGGAACACCAGUGGCGAAGGCGACCACCUGGACUAAUACUGACACUGAGGUGCGAAAGCGUGGGGAGCAAACAGGAUUAGAUACCCUGGUAGUCCACGCCGUAAACGAUGUCAACUAGCCGUUGGAAGCCUUGAGCUUUUAGUGGCGCAGCUAACGCAUUAAGUUGACCGCCUGGGGAGUACGGCCGCAAGGUUAAAACUCAAAUGAAUUGACGGGGGCCCGCACAAGCGGUGGAGCAUGUGGUUUAAUUCGAAGCAACGCGAAGAACCUUACCAGGCCUUGACAUCCAAUGAACUUUCCAGAGAUGGAUUGGUGCCUUCGGGAACAUUGAGA